AAUAGAUACCCGGGUAGUCCACGCCGUAAACGAUGGAUGCUAGCUAUUGGGGGGAAUCGACCCCCUCCGAAGCGAAGCUAACGCGUUAAGCAUCCCGCCUGAGUAGUACGAGCGCAAGCUUAAAACUCAAAGGAAUUGACGGGGACCCGCACAAGCGGUGGAGCGUGUGGUUUAAUUCGAUGGUAAACGAAGAACCUUACCAAGGUUUGACAUCCCGGUAGCCGUUCUCCGAAAGGAGAAUUUCAUUUAGUUGGACCGGUGACAGGUGAUGCAUGGCCGUCGUCAGCUCGUGUCGUGAGAUGUUGGGUUAAGUCCCGCAACGAGCGCAACCCUUAUGAUUUAGUUGGAUUUUUCUAAACAGACUGCCCUGGUAACAGGGAGGAAGGAGGGGAUGAUGUCAGGUCAGUAUUUCCCUUACACCUUGGGGCGACACACGCGCUACAAUGGCCGGUACAAUGGGCAGCUAAGCCGCGAGGUGGUGCAAAUCCCAUCAAAGCCGGUCCCAGUUCGGAUUGCAGGCUGAAACCCGCCUGCAUGAAGCCGGAAUCGCUAGUAA
rnacentral:rRNA from 1 species